rnacentral:rRNA from 1 species
GACGAACGCUGGCGGCGUGCCUAAUACAUGCAAGUCGAACGCAGUGGGGGCGGGUGAGUAACACGUGGGUAACCUCCCAUCAGAGGGGAGAACACUUGGAAACUGGUGCUAAACCGAUACUGAUGGAUGGAGUCGCGGUGGAUUAGCUAGUUGGUGGGGUAACGGCGCACCAAGGCGACGAUGCAUAGCCGGCCUGAGAGGAUGACAAGCCACACUGGGACUGAGACACGGCCCAGACUCCUACGGGAGGCAGCAGUGGGGAAUCUUCGACAAUGGGCGAAAGCCUGACCGAGCAACGCCGCGUGAGUGAAGAAGGUUUUCGGAUCGUAAAGCACUGUUAGUGGAGAGGCGGUAUCUAACCAGGAAGCCCCGGCUAACUACGUGCCAGCCGCCGCGGUAAUAC